rnacentral:rRNA from 1 species
GGGCGCAAGCCUGAUGCAGCGACGCCGCGUGAGGGAUGACGGCCUUCGGGUUGUAAACCUCUUUCAGUAGGGAAGAAGCGAAAGUGACGGUACCUGCAGAAGAAGCACCGGCUAACUACGUGCCAGCAGCCGCGGUAAUACGUAGGGUGCGAGCGUUAUCCGGAAUUAUUGGGCGUAAAGAGCUCGUAGGCGGUUUGUCGCGUCUGUCGUGAAAGUCCGGGGCUUAACCCCGGAUCUGCGGUGGGUACGGGCAGACUAGAGUGCAGUAGGGGAGACUGGAAUUCCUGGUGUAGCGGUGGAAUGCGCAGAUAUCAGGAGGAACACCGAUGGCGAAGGCAGGUCUCUGGGCUGUAACUGACGCUGAGGAGCGAAAGCAUGGGGAGCGAACAGGAUUAGAUACCCUGGUAGUCCAUGCCGUAAACGUUGGGCACUAGGUGUGGGGACCAUUCCACGGUUUCCGCGCCGCAGCUAACGCAUUAAGUGCCCCGCCUGGGGAGUACGGCCGCAAGGCUAAAACUCAAAGGAAUUGACGGGG